rnacentral:rRNA from 1 species
CGCCCUUCAGAGGGGGACGAACAUUGGAAACGACUGCUAAUACCGCAUACGAUCUGACCUCGGCAUCGAGGAUAGAUGAAAGGUGGCCUCUAUUUAUAAGCUAUCACUGAAGGAGGGGAUUGCGUCUGAUUAGCUAGUUGGAGGGGUAACGGCCCACCAAGGCGAUGAUCAGUAGCCGGUCUGAGAGGAUGAACGGCCACAUUGGGACUGAGACACGGCCCAG